CGGGCAUACAAAAUCUCCCCUUUAGUUCCUCCAAGUGGGGCCAUCGUGGCCCUUAUUCUUGAAAUAAUAGGUAGGAAAUCUUGGCUAAAGAUAAAGCAUCCGCAGCCUUUUCUACUUCUGCAUAUGCUUCCUCCAAAUGGAUCCUCUUGACACGGCCUUUCCACAACAACUCCAUAUCUUCAAAGAAAUCAUUUGGGAUGAUAGGAUAGGAACUAAUCUUUUGAUCAUUUUCACCAUGUACGG
rnacentral:misc_RNA from 1 species